ACGGCGGUGAGGAAACGCGCGGCGGAGGAAAAGGCGAAGCGAGCGCUGGCGGCGGCUUUGCGAAACGCGGAACAGAAAAAACGCGACCGGAUUCUGGGCGUGGAAACCAAGAAGGCGUCCUUGACGUCGAAACCAGUGCCGGUUCGGUCGUUUACGCGGAAACCGAAAGGCGAAGGCGAGUCCGGUGAGGGUGAAAAAGGGUCGGAAGUUGACCCCGCGGAACAAGGUGACCCUGCGGAACACGAAACCAAAGCGGAAG
rnacentral:ribozyme from 13 species